rnacentral:rRNA from 1 species
GACGAACGCUGGCGGCGUGCUUAACACAUGCAAGUCGAACGGAAAGGCCCUGCUUUUGUGGGGUGCUCGAGUGGCGAACGGGUGAGUAACACGUGAGUAACCUGCCCUUGACUUUGGGAUAACUUCAGGAAACUGGGGCUAAUACCGGAUAGGAGCUCCUGCUGCAUGGUGGGGGUUGGAAAGUUUCGGCGGUUGGGGAUGGACUCGCGGCUUAUCAGCUUGUUGGUGAGGGAGUGGCUUACCAAGGCUUUGACGGGUAGCCGGCCUGAGAGGGUGACCGGCCACAUUGGGACUGAGAUACGGCCCAGACUCCUACGGGAGGCAGCAGUGGGGAAUAUUACACAAUGGGCGGACGCCUGAUGCAGCAACGCCGCGUGCGGGAUGACGGCCUUCGGGUUGUAAACCGCUUUCGCCUGUGACGAAGCGUGAGUGACGGUAAUGGGUAAAGAAGCACCGGCUAACUACGUG